AAGUCGUAACAAGGUUUCCGUAGGUGAACCUGCGGAAGGAUCAUUACAAAUCCAAACACAAUGACUCGUUAAAAUGUUCUCGGCCUUGGGGCAUAGCACCAUUGUCAAACCCCCCAAUUGCGGUGACGACGUGUGGACUGCCAAAGAGAAAAUAGAUGCAUAUAGGGAACAGUAUUCUCGCAUGCUUCUAUAGGACUCUUAAAACCAAGGCUCGCACAAUGACGCUUUUCACAUUGACAUCUAUGCAAAACGUAAAACAUAAACAACUUUUAACAAUGGAUCUCUUGGCUCUC
rnacentral:misc_RNA from 1 species